AUUGAACGCUGGCGGCAGGCCUAACACAUGCAAGUCGAGCGGAUGAAGGGAGCUUGCUCCUGGAUUCAGCGGCGGACGGGUGAGUAAUGCCUAGGAAUCUGCCUGGUAGUGGGGGAUAACGUCCGGAAACGGGCGCUAAUACCGCAUACGUCCUGAGGGAGAAAGUGGGGGAUCUUCGGACCUCACGCUAUCAGAUGAGCCUAGGUCGGAUUAGCUAGUUGGUGGGGUAAAGGCCUACCAAGGCGACGAUCCGUAACUGGUCUGAGAGGAUGAUCAGUCACACUGGAACUGAGACACGGUCCAGACUCCUACGGGAGGCAGCAGUGGGGAAUAUUGGACAAUGGGCGAAAGCCUGAUCCAGCCAUGCCGCGUGUGUGAAGAAGGUCUUCGGAUUGUAAAGCACUUUAAGUUGGGAGGAAGGGCAGUAAGUUAAUACCUUGCUGUUUUGACGUUACCAACAGAAUAAGCACCGGCUAACUUCGUGCCAGCAGCCGCGGUAAUACGAAGGGUGCAAGCGUUAAUCGGAAUUACUGGGCGUAAAGCGCGCGUAGGUGGUUCAGCAAGUUGGAUGUGAAAUCCCCGGGCUCAACCUGGGAACUGCAUCCAAAACUACUGAGCUAGAGUACGGUAGAGGGUGGUGGAAUUUCCUGUGUAGCGGUGAAAUGCGUAGAUAUAGGAAGGAACACCAGUGGCGAAGGCGACCACCUGGACUGAUACUGACACUGAGGUGCGAAAGCGUGGGGAGCAAACAGGAUUAGAUACCCUGGUAGUCCACGCCGUAAACGAUGUCGACUAGCCGUUGGGAUCCUUGAGAUCUUAGUGGCGCAGCUAACGCGAUAAGUCGACCACGUGGGGAGUACGGCCGCAAGGUUA
rnacentral:rRNA from 1 species